GACGAACGCUGGCGGCGUGCUUAACACAUGCAAGUCGAACGGAAAGGCCCUGCUUUUGUGGGGUGCUCGAGUGGCGAACGGGUGAGUAACACGUGAGUAACCUGCCCUUGACUUUGGGAUAACUUCAGGAAACUGGGGCUAAUACCGGAUAGGAGCUCCUGCUGCAUGGUGGGGGUUGGAAAGUUUCGGCGGUUGGGGAUGGACUCGCGGCUUAUCAGCUUGUUGGUGGGGUAGUGGCUUACCAAGGCUUUGACGGGUAGCCGGCCUGAGAGGGUGACCGGCCACAUUGGGACUGAGAUGCGGCCCAGACUCCUACGGGAGGCAGAAGUGGGGAAUAGUGCACAAUGGGCGGAAGCCUGAUGCAGCAACGCCGCGUGCGGGAUGACAGCCUUCGGGUUGUAAACCGCUUUCGCCUGUGACGAAGCGUGAGUGACGGUAAUGGGUAAAGAAGCACCGGCUAACUACGUG
rnacentral:rRNA from 1 species